rnacentral:rRNA from 1 species
UACAGAGGGGGCAAGCGUUAUUCGGAAUUAUUGGGCGUAAAGGGCGCGUAGGCGGCUUUGCAAGUGGCGGGUGAAAUCCCUCGGCUUAACCGAGGAACUGCCUGCCAGACUGCAUGGCUUGAGACCGGGAGAGGUGAGUGGAAUUCCCAGUGUAGCGGUGAAAUGCGUAGAUAUUGGGAGGAACACCAGUGGCGAAGGCGGCUCACUGGACCGGUACUGACGCUGAGACGCGAAAGCGUGGGGAGCAAACAGG